CGCCUCCCUACAGCUCUCCCCCAGCUCCGCGUGCUGCGGGGUGCCGAGGUUUGGUGUUGGUACGGAGGGAAACAGAAACCCCCGGGCUCCUUUUGCCUCUUUGGCUUCAUCCCAGCGUUACCCCAAGCCUGAACUUUGCUUGGAAAUCCAGCGAGGGAGAGCCUAACAAAAAUCAAUAAAACCAAACCAACCAACGAGCAGUUCCCUGUAAGUUCUCCCUUCCCUUUGAAACAUCGGACUUUUCUCUAUUCCCUCAAGUCCCCUCGGUUUUAAAUAAAGGUGUUCCGUGGCUGCGUGGUGUGGUUACUGAACGGGUGUGCUGAGAGCGGCCGAUGGGGUGGGGGGGCAUCGCUCAGCUGAUUCCCAUCCGGGAAAAGGGAGCAGCAGGAAUAACCCCAUCCCUGCAGGGCUGCACGGAGCGAAUCGCCCUGGUUGUCAGGUGCUGUUUACAGCCGCGAUUCCUCCGCAGCUCCAGUUUCUGCAGGUGGCCCAGAAGAGGGCUGGGGGAGGUGAGAAGGAUGCUGACCACAGCACUGCGAGCACAAAGCAUUGCAGCCUCCUGAACUGAUGGUGAGUUUGUUCCUCCUCUCUGCUCACAGUAACAAACAGCAUCACCCUAAUUAACUGCAGGUUCCUGCUGGGAUGGUCUUACUCAGCUUAAAGGUGGCUUAUUUCUGUCUUGGAUUUGUCUUGUUUCUAUACCAUAAUAAGCUUAGAUGAAACACCUGUAGCUCCAUUGCUGGAACUGCUAUGGGAUGACCACAGCUGUCGAUGAGCUCUGUGUUGCUGCAGCAGUAGCAGUGUGUUGCACCUAGUGGUAAAGGCAGGUGGAUACAGAGAGUGUGAUUAAGAGAAGGAAGGGUGAUCUCAGCAAGAACUUCAGUGCCCUUUCAUCCUGUGCAGUCUUUCAAGGCAGAAGUUGGUUUUAAUUCUCUGAUAGAUGUUUCUGAGUUUUCAGGAGCAAAAGCAAGCUGUCCAAAUUCUGUGCUCCCCUUCGUUCUGCUUUUGCUGAGACAGCUCACCUUGCUCUCCUGAAGACUCCAUGUUCCCCACCACUGUGCUUUGCUGUCACUGCUUCAACAAGCCCUGAAUUGCUCCUAGUGACACACAGAGCAGCAGCUCCAUGGUGUUACCUGCAGCUGCCCCAUUACACGAAGCUCUUGCUGAGCUGCUGGAUGCUUCUUUAGCACCUGCUCUAUCCAGGUUUUUGGCUCAGCAUCACUUCUGCUCAAAGCAGGCCCUUGUGUAAGGCAGGCUGCUUUACCUCACCCUUGCCAGCUGUCACCAGAAGAAGAGAUUCCCUGUGUUAACCCAUCACUGUGACUUUGUGCUUCUAGAGCUGUUCCUCACACCAUGAAGGCAGCCACCAAAAUCAGUCCUUUCUUCACACCUCUGCCUCUUCUCGUGCACCUCCCAGCCUCCUUGUAAAGCCUGGAGCUCCCCUGAGCCCU
rnacentral:lncRNA from 1 species